UUACGGGAGGCAGCAGUAGGGAAUUUUCGUCAAUGGGGGGAACCCUGAACGAGCAAUGCCGCGUGAGUGAGGAAGGUCUUCGGAUCGUAAAGCUCUGUUGUAAGAGAAAAACGGCACUCAUAGGGAAUGAUGAGUGAGUGAUGGUAUCUUACCAGAAAGUCACGGCUAACUACGUGCCAGCAGCCGCGGUAAUACGUAGGUGGCGAGCGUUAUCCGGAAUGAUUGGGCGUAAAGGGUGCGUAGGUGGCAGAUCAAGUCUGGAGUAAAAGGUAUGGGCUCAACCCGUACUGGCUCUGGAAACUGAUCAGCUAGAGAACAGAAGAGGACGGCGGAACUCCAUGUGUAGCGGUAAAAUGCGUAGAUAUAUGGAAGAACACCGGUGGCGAAGGCGGCCGUCUGGUCUGGAUUCUGACACUGAAGCACGAAAGCGUGGGGAGCAAAUAGGAUUAGAUACCCUAGUAGUCCACGCCGUAAACGAUGAGAACUAGGUGUUGGGGGAAUAACUCAGUGCCGCAGUUAACGCAAUAAGUUCUCCGCCUGGGGAGUAUGCACGCAAGUGUGAAACUCAAAGAAAUUGACGG
rnacentral:rRNA from 1 species